GAGAUUUAGAAGGGGUUAUAUGUAAAUCAGCCUUAUCCUUUGAAAUAAAUGUAAAAAUCUGGGAACUCGUCAAGGACAGGUAAAUAUAGAAUAAAAGGCUGACAAGAGGAAAUCCUGAAGGCAGUUUGUAUAGGUUUCACCUACCUCAAACUCUUGAUUGAGGAUUAGGGGUCACCAGAUUAACAUGAUCACAUGUGUUGGCCAGCUCAGAAAGUAUACAACUACUACAGAAAGUAUAGAGCUACUUUGGGGCUGGGAAUGUGGCUUAAUGGGAGAAUGCUUGCCUAGCACCUAUGAAGCCCUGGGUUCUAUUUCUCAGUACCACAUAAACAGAAGGCUAGAAGUGGUGCUAUGGUUCAAGUGGUAGAGUGCUAAGCUUGAACACAGAGGGGGCUCAGGGACAAAGCAUAGGCCCUGAGUUCAAGCCCCUGGACAGUUAAGCAAACAAACAAAAAAACCCAGUUACUUUGAGGUU